CCGCGUGUAUGAAGAAGGCCUUGGGGUUGUAAAGUACUUUCAGCGGGGAGGAAGGGAGUAAAGUUAAUACCUUUACUCAUUGACGUUACCCGCAGAAGAAGCACCGGCUAACUCCGUUCCAGCAGCCGCGGUAAUACGGAGGGUGCAAGCGUUAAUCGGAAUUACUGGGUGUAAAGCGCACGCGGAAUUUUUC
rnacentral:rRNA from 1 species